rnacentral:lncRNA from 1 species
GGAUAAUUUUGAAAACAAUAAUUCAGAAGAAGAUGAUAAUCCAGAAGGUUGUACUGAUGGAGGAGACUCUUUAGACAGCAUUGACAGACAUAAUUAUGAAACAAGAUAAGGAUUUUAGCCUAAAGAAGACAUUUGGCAAAAAGUUACAGUGAUUUUCAGACUAGACUCAACCAUUUGAAGACUUUUGUCCAGAUCUCAAGAAAAAAUCAAGAAUUAUUGUACAAAAAGAAAAAUCUUUACUGUUUUCUUUUUGAAAAAUUUGUAAAGAAUCUUACUGUUUGAUAAAGUAAAAUUUGAUAGUAUAGCUUUUUACUGUUUUCUUUUUGACGUUUUGAAAAAAGCAAAGAUUCCUUGCUUUUGAAAAAUGCUUCCUCUUUCUUUUCUCUCCUAUAAAAGGAGAUCAUUCUUUCAUUUGUAAAGACACAAGAAAAUAUAUACAAUACAAGUUUUUAUUUCUCUGAAAUAUGUUCUAAUCUUCUUUCUUUCCCGAAAGGAAAAUUCUUAAUUGUUCUUAUUCUUAGAUAGAAUAAUAUCCCACAAAAAUAUGUUGUUUUAAAAACUACCGAUGGAUCAUUCCGGUAGGUAUGCUUUAUAGUUCUAAGAUAUGGUGCUAAU